rnacentral:rRNA from 1 species
CUGGUGCCAGCAGCCGCGGUAACUCCAGCUCCAGAAGCGUAUAUUAAAGUUGUUGCAGUUAAAAAGCUCGUAGUUGGAUCUGGGUGGCAUGACUGCUUACCGUUGCCUGGCGGCUCGGUUUAUUGUAUAGACUGGGUUGGUCGGGUCGGUCUUGUGGUUGUGCAGCCUUUCUGCCGUGUCUGUUUCGACAGGUGUUGAUUGGGUUGAUGGGUUCUUCCUGUCGGCCCGUUGACAUGUUUCCAGGUGCCUUUAAUCGGGUGUCUGGGGCGGACGGCAUGUUUACUUUGAACAAAUUUGAGUGCUCAAAGCAGGCCCUUGUGCCUGAAAAGUCUUGCAUGGAAUAAUGGAAUAGGACUUCGGUUCUAUUUUGUUGGUUUUCGGAUCCGAAGUAAUGGUUAAGAGGGACAGACGGGGG